rnacentral:lncRNA from 1 species
CAAGAUUCAGCAGAGGAUAUGAAAGAUCAAAUGCUAGAAUCGUAGAAGGACAUGAUGAAUCAGCUAACUCAGUUAUUACUAGGAGGGCCAGAAAAAGGGAAGAGUCCCAUGGUCAAUACUGAGGAUAAUAGUGAGAUCCUUGGUUACCUUCCAAGUUUCACUCCAACAAAUACCCCAAUACCACCACAAGGGGUGUUUGUUGAUAUCAAACCCCAAUAUCAGACUAGUACUUUAGCACCGAUAAAUAUCCUAAUGGGCUCGUAUUCUAACCCUAAAGACAAUCGGGCAAAUCCUAUAGACCUUGACCUCGGUGAUGCAGCGGAAGCAGG